rnacentral:rRNA from 1 species
CCCUUAGAUGUUCUGGGCCGCACGCGUGCUACACUGAACGGUUCAAUGGGUGAGGUAGUGCGAAAGCAUGACCCAAUCUCAAAAUCCGUUCGUGCUGGGGAUAGAAGCUUGCAAUUCUCCUUCUUGAACGAGGAAUACCUUGUAAGCGCGAGUCAUCAUCUCGCGCUGAAUACGUCCCUGCCCUUUGUACACACCGCCCGUCGCUCCUACCGAUUGAAUGUUCCGAUGAAUACCAUGGACUGAGAGUAUGAAUGGGUUCGCCUAUUUCUGCUUCUCGGGAAGUGGAGUAAAUCUUAACAUUUAGAGGAAGGAGAAGUCGUAACA